rnacentral:rRNA from 1 species
GAUGAACGCUGGCGGCGUGCCUAAUACAUGCAAGUCGAGCGAACGGACGAGAAGCUUGCUUUUCUGAUGUUAGCGGCGGACGGGUGAGUAACACGUGGAUAACCUACCUAUAAGACUGGGAUAACUUCGGGAAACCGGAGCUAAUACCGGAUAAUAUUUUGAACCGCAUGGUUCAAAAGUGAAAGACGGUCUUGCUGUCACUUAUAGAUGGAUCCGCGCUGCAUUAGCUAGUUGGUAAGGUAACGGCUUACCAAGGCAACGAUGCAUAGCCGACCUGAGAGGGUGAUCGGCCACACUGGAACUGAGACACGGUCCAGACUCCUACGGGAGGCAGCAGUAGGGAAUCUUCCGCAAUGGGCGAAAGCCUGGCGGAGCAACGCCGCGUGAGUGAUGAAGGUCUUCGGAUCGUAAAACUCUGUUAUUAGGGAAGAACAUAUGUGUAAGUAACUGUGCGCAUCUUGACGGUACCUAAUCAGAAAGCCACGGCUAACUACGUG